rnacentral:rRNA from 1 species
UACGUAGGGUGCGAGCGUUGUCCGGAAUUACUGGGCGUAAAGAGCUCGUAGGUGGUUUGUCGCGUUGUUCGUGAAAUCUCACGGCUUAACUGUGAGCGUGCGGGCGAUACGGGCAGACUAGAGUACUGCAGGGGAGACUGGAAUUCCUGGUGUAGCGGUGGAAUGCGCAGAUAUCAGGAGGAACACCGGUGGCGAAGGCGGGUCUCUGGGCAGUAACUGACGCUGAGGAGCGAAAGCGUGGGGAGCGAGCGGG